rnacentral:rRNA from 1 species
UACGUAGGGUGCGAGCGUUAAUCGGAAUUACUGGGCGUAAAGCGUGCGCAGGCGGCGCCGCAAGUCGAGUGUGAAAGCCCCGGGCUUAACCUGGGAAUUGCAUUGGAAACUAGCGGGCUGGAGUGUGGCAGAGGGGGGGUGGAAUUCCACGUGUAGCAGUGAAAUGCGUAGAGAUGUGGAGGAACACCGAUGGCGAAGGCAGCCCCCCUGGGCUAACACUGACGCUCAUGCACGAAAGCGUGGGGAGCAAACAGG